AGCCUUCAGAAUUUAGACCGAUGGUGCUAAGCUUCCUCGCCGGCGAAGAGAUUGUUGAGCGGAGCAGCAUGGAUGUAGCCUGGUCGCAGCUGAUCCCCGGCAUCCCAAACGACGUCGCUAUGCAGUGCCUGGCUCGGGUCCCUCGUAUAUACCACCCCAUCCUCUCUCUAGUAUGCUUCUCCAAUGUAUUAUUUGUGAAAGAAUUUACUGAUUUCUUGCUUGACACAUGAAUCAUACUUCAAAUAUUGUGUUCUUCAGUCACUGUAGCGUCAAGGCAAAGAAAUAGAGCAGGGCGAGUGAGGUUUAACACGCGAUUAAUCUGACUUCUGUUGAAAAUCCUAUAAUUUAUGCUUUAGCGAUCUCUAAGAACUCAAGUUUAUUCACUGAAAUUGAAAUAUGAGGAUAUUUUUAGAAUGCUAAUUGCAUAUUCAAAAAGGAAUCCUUUGGAGCUGGUUUAGCAAGGUUAUGUGCUCUGGCAAUAAUUAGAAUGCUUCAUAGCCUCAGGUUUUAUCCUCUUCUUGAUAUGAUGGUCAUGAAAGUGCUGUUUUGUAGCUUCUUUUAGUUCAAUGGAUUAGAAUCAAGGAUUGAGAUGCUGCUUAGUCUUUGACUGAGCUUGGUGAAAAACUAUUUGAGGAUUCAUUUGGCUUAGCUUAUUCAGGAGUUAACUUGGGUUGAUCAAAUAUUUGGAAUCUAGAGUAGUUCGGUACUACUUUCUGUUUCCAUACAGGGUGCAGUCUGGCCAUGUAAAAGAAUUGCCUUUGGUAUCUAGAAUUUGAUUCUCUUUUGGUAUGGUUUAGGAGCAAGCUUUCUCAUACAACAUUCGUGCAACAUUUGUGCAUAUCGUUGAUUUAAUAGUGACAUGGCAUACUUUAGUAUAUUACUUUUUUCCUGAAAGUCUAUAUAACAAGAAAUUAAAACAGCUUUGAUAAUGUAGAAUUGCACAAUAUUCUGAGUCUAGAAUAAUAGAAUUUACUUGAAUGGCCCCUCAAAGCCCCCUAAGUUAUUCAUAAAAGUAACUUAACAUGCACACAUACAUGUCAGAGGACACAUUGAUACUAUUUCCUAAUAAUCAGAAUCCCUGUUGAGCAUGAAAUAUAUUACAAGCUAUAAGAGACUUUCAAGGAGCAGUUGGUGGCUUGUGCAGCAUAUUUCCAAGACCAAUAUCACUAUCUGGAAUAUACUGCCACUUAUUAUAUACUAGAAUAUCUUCUUCUUCAGAUUUGUUUUCAUCCUCCAAAUCUUGUUGAAUGUGAUAAAGUUGCAAAUAGAGAGUAUCGAUUAAUGAUGAAGGUUGUUUUUGGAGAUUUGAUCUUUUCCUUCUGGUAACAUUUUUAGGAUACCAGACAGGCCAUUGGGCUGCUUCUCCGGAGAGGCAAACUGCAAAAAUCAGCAUGUAUAAAGGAAUAAAGUGUUAAUCAACUUCUUUCUUUUUAUGGUGGACUGAGUAUGGAUUGGUAGUAAAUAUUCAGUUGGAUUUUUCAAUAAUUGCAAACUGAGGCAUAAACUUGAAAUAACACUAACAAGCAUAGCAAAUCACUUUUUUAUUGGUUUUGUUAAAGUUUUGAUAUUAUAUACAUGGUAAGGCAAAUGAAAGAACAUGUUUUAAUAUCUCUUCCUAAGAUGGAAACUGGAGAAACUAAUGGAAAACUGAUGCAUGCUAUGAUUGUUAAUAUUAAAAUUGUCAUUCAAUAAUAGAUAUUUAAAGAUUGAUCCAUUGUUGCUAAUUGAGACUAGUCUGUGCAUAUCUUAGAAACUAUCCCUUAUUAAACCCAUCCUAUGCAUUCAAUUUGGAUAAAGAUGAUUGUGAAAAGCAAUAAGAAGCUGAAAUAUUUGUGUAUAUUUUCUUAAAUUCUGAUUUUACUUUUAUAGUCAUAUUUCCUUUAGAUAUUCAGGGACUUGCCCUUAAUGCAAAUUAGGAAAGAGAAGUUUAUCCUAUAUAAGAGAAAUGCAAUCCAUAUAUGCUUCAUGGACUCGCUUCAAUUUUGUCUACGACUUGAGAACAACAGCAUUCAUUCCUUUGAUAUGCUGUUUUGGCGCAUGCAAUUCACUGGAGAUGUUACUGAAGAUUCCGAGCUUGAAAUGCUAAAUUCCCCCUCUUUAGGCAUUUUUCCUGCUCUCAACUUUUGUUGAGAGAUGAUUUUGACAGCAUGCUUCUUGGAAGGUGAUAUGCAACUCUGAGUGUGGUUUACAUGAUUCUCCCUUGCAACUCUUGGUCUAGGUGCAGCGCAAAAUGCAGCAUAUUUAUGAAGGCGGCAAUCGAGUUGCAGAUGCCUUUGAAAAUGUGGGAGUGAAGGUGCCUUCUCGGCUGCUUCUUUGAAAAGAUAAGGAUGGACAAAUAUUGUAUGUGUGGAAUAGAAAAAGCUGCGGCUCCACCUUUGAGCCUUUCUCCUGGCCUUCUUCUUCUUCUUCUUCUUGAUCUUGGAUGAAGAAAGCUUGGAUUUUUGGAGCUUCUACCGGGAGGAAGGGCCUCCCUCUGGCCUUCCUCUUCCUCUAGAUUACUCAUCCUUUUAUUGUCAAUUAGAAUGUCACCUUGGCUUCACCCUGCAUAGAUGCAAAUAAACUGUGCUUCAUAAGUCAUGAUAUUAAUGUUUUUAUAUACUGUGAGUAAAAGGUUGCUUCACAAUUAAGCCAUGCGAUGUACAGAUUAAAGAUUAUAAGUAUUGUUGUUAUCUUAUAAUACUAACUAUUAGUUUUAUUAAAUUUUAAGUAUAAAUAUAUCAGAGAUGUUAGC